AUAGUUUCCAGACCAUUCCACUGUGUGUGUGGACGAUUGUGACUGCAUCGAGGGACUGAACGAUCCUCGAGGCAGCGGUAUUCAGACCGGUCUGUGUGAGAACUUUUCUACAACUGUAAAAACCUGUGAGGUGAUCUCCUGGUGUCCUCUGGAGAUAGACUCUCAUCUGCCUGAUCAUGCUUUGCUGGAUUCAGCAGAGAACUUCACCGUGUUGAUCAAGAACAGCAUCACGUACCCAAAGUUCAACAUCCACAG